AGGGCCACACCUGUGGCAUAUGGAAUUUCCCAGACUAGGGGUCAAAUCGAAGCUGUAGCUGCCAGCCUACACCACAGCCAGAGAAAUACAGGAUCUGAGCCACAUUUGCAGCCUACAUCAUAGCUCACAGGUGUGCUGGAUACUUAACCCACUGGGUAAGGCCAGGGAUCAAACCCACAUCCUCAUGGAUGCUAGUUGGGUUUAUGCUGUCCUACAUAGCUAAGAUAUGACUAUGUUUUCUUCCACAUCACACUCCAGUUAUCUUUGUGAAUAAAUGGAAAUAGAGUCAUGAAGCACCUCUAGCAGUUUUUAAACAUGUUUAUUUUUAAAUGCAUAUGUUGUUUUGAUGAGACAGGGGUGUGGCAAUUCUUUUGGAAACACGUGGUAAGAAGUGAGGGAUCUGUGAGGAAUAGCAAGAUGCAAAGUGAAGGCUUUUUGCUCUGUUUUGAUACUGACCAAAGGAGAUGGAGGGUUAAAACAUAUACUUUUCUCUCUCAUCACCAUAAAACAUAAGCAUCCAUGACACAAUAAAGCAAGUGUCUUGACCCUGGAGGAGCAAAUAGGAUUAGAAAAGAUUUGCAUUCCAAUUUUGGACUACUCAAAUUGAACCAGUCACUGAAUUUGAAACUCCAGGGAUUAUACCAUCUUGCCCCCCUUUUGAAAACAAACAGACACACAAAACACUGGAGGUGACCCUCAGAGUUUUCAACAGUUUACUCAUCCUAACCAGUGCUGAUUGGUUCAUUAGGUGGGUGUCAGAGCAAAUUGGUUGGGGAAGCAAAUAUAUGUGCUUCUGGAUCUACAUGCUUAUUACCAUGUUCAGUGCUCAGUUUUGAGUUUCAUGUUCAAGAAAUCCUGGCAUCAGUCUGGGAAGCUAGGUCCUGUUAGAUGCACAGCCUGAGGCCAAUUCAGAACCAGAGCUUCUCAGCAGGCACAACCUCAAAAUUUUGAAUUUAUGCCCAUUGGGCUAGGUUGGCCAAGACAAAGGCCAUUAAGAUACUUAAAGUUUUGUAAUUUUUUUCAAAAUAAUUUAAAUAUUGCUUCAAAAGAUGGUUUAUGAUCAACAGUUCCUUUUUGAAUGUGGUUCUCACAGUUGUUCUCCGUAAUAGUUUAUCUUAAAGUAAAUAGUGGCUUUGGGUCUCUACUCAAGGGUGAACUUCCUCAGAGCCAAAACCACGAAUACAUGUUUGUAGCACACACCUGGGGUGAUUUGCUUUCUUGUCCUUUCCUCUUGUGUCAUCAGGGACAGGGAGAGGGUUGGAUAGAAAUUCGUUACAAGUGUGUACUAAAUCUCUGUCUAGUGCAGCUUCCUUCACCUAUGUUGGCUUCAACCCAGUCCUUGAUACCAUAAAAGAAUAUUCCAGGAGUACCCUGGUGGCUUAGUGGUUAAGGAUUGAGCGUCCUUAAAGAUUUGUCACUGCUGUGACAUGGGCUCAAUCCCUGGCCCUGGAACUUCUGUAAGCCAUGUGUACAGCCAAAAAAAAAAAAAAA
rnacentral:lncRNA from 1 species